CAGCACGGCUCUGAAAGGGGGAUGGGAGAGCGAGCAGAAAGCAGAAAAACCAGCUUUGAACUAUGCAUGCAAGGCCUCUCUCAAGACUCAAAUUCUUGCGGAAGGCGCUGGAAUACACCUGUAGAGAUGACAAGCUUCCUGCUCCAAUCUCAUAUGUGAUGAAAAUUGACUGCAGAAGACCCACUGCUAUGAAUUGAAGGCUCCAGAUUCUGUGUGCUCAUCUCCAGCCUGCUCCGUGACAACUAGGCUGUCCCACGACGCGCAGUUGACAUGCAAGGUGAAGAGCAUUGCCAGCACUCAAGCAGAGGCGGUGGAUGAGUGUGAGGGCACACGCAGCAGAGCCGGGGGUCCCCUGUCAUCCGUGCAGGCUAACGGGUCGAGCUUGCCCAGGAGCCCUGUGGAGCUUGGCUGUGCUCGGCCCCAGCAGUGACGGCUGACAGCCACAGAGUGCCAUGCACAUACUGACCGUGACAAACAGCUGGGUACAGACAUGAGCAAAAACAACACCGCUGCUCCUACCCAGACAGGAGAAUGGACUGUGCGUCUUACCGAACGAAGCUUUUUGCACUAGGACUGGGUGAUCCGGCCAAUACACGGAGCAGACCGAGGCCAGGGGUAUCGACAGCCACCACAGGGCGCACGCUGAGGUGGAGAAGACGAAGAUGACACUGUCGCCGGCGUUUGGGAAGCAGCCCUUCCCAGCAUCAGCUGUUCUCAAACCUGAGGGAGAAGCACGGCCCGGGGAGUCUCCGCUCCACACGACAGACUGACAGCAAGAUGCAAGGCUGUUACCAAAAUGCUGGGCCAAACCAGAUGGCAUCACUCCCUGACCUGGGCAGGUGCCCAACAUUCAAGGAAACACUGAAGACUUUCUCGAGUUGUGAUCUGUCAGAGGAAUUUUCCCUGUGACUUAGGAAAAUGUCCCCAUGACAUGCUGGUGCAGACUGACUCUCCCAGCUCCCCACACGCAGGUGGAAACCUCGCCACCACCGUGGGGCAGGGCUCAAGGCUUGCAUUCGCUCGCAGCUGCUUCCACGAACUGCAACACUUUACAUGAUUUCACGGAAAUAAAGGCGUCCAAGGCACUAUACAUAAUAAAUAGUUGGUGCAGCAAAUGACUGCUAUUCAGACUGAAAACAUGGACAAAAUACGCUCCAAGAUGGUGAGAAAAACCUUCCUUUAAAGUUUAGAAAAAAUGAACUUGACUUGGAGCUAAAAAGAUGCAAGGAUUCAGAUAAACAAGAAAGAGGAUGGGAAAAAGUAUUCUACAACAGUUCUCAAAGUGGGGUCCCUUAGGCCCCUUCUGGGAUCUACUAUUUUUAUGAUAACACCAAGACACGCUUUGCCUUUAUAACCAUUGUUAGGUUGAUUUUUCAAGGCUACCAGAGAUGUGGUAUCAAAACAGACUGAACGCAGGCGCAGACCUGAGAGGCCAGCUGUCUUUU